GUCAGUGAUGUAUGAUGAUGCACUCUGUAUAGUAGCUGCUGUGCAAAGUCUGUCUCAUUUUGUCAAAGAUUCACGUGCCAUAUGUUAAAUGUUGCUAAGAAAAAGCUAAGAUUUGCUGGAGAAAAUAACUGAACAGGGAAAAUGUUUUAUUCUAGUACAGUUAGCUACAUUUAGUUUUAAACUAUCACAUCAUAUAAUUAAUCUAAAACAGAAUCCCUUUUAAUACAGGACUAAAGUCCUAUUCAAUAUAAAAAUUACUUUUAUAUAACAAUUAAAACCAGCAAAAUGUGAACAGUCCUAAAAAGUAUAUUUUCAAUAUUUUAACAAGCCUGAAGAUUACAAUUAUCCAGUAUAACACUAGGAGAAAGAAUCUGAGAAAAGUCUUAGGAUGUAAAUUAUAUGAUUUUUGAAGCAAAACAAAAAGGAAUGACGAAACUGCAUCCAUUGCUCUCAUACUUAUCAAAUUUUUUUAUACAGUUAAGAAAUCAUGCGUUUCCCCUACAGUCUGUUACCAUGCCCACCACUGAAUCUGAAUUUAUAAAUCUUCCAUCAUGACAUGUUAAAUAAAGUUAUUAAUUUACACCACCUAGUGCAGGGGUGGUAAAACAGCUCUGCUGUCACAGAUACUGGUACUGGACAACAUUAAAAGUCCACAUCAUGUUUCCUCUCUUCAUUUACCUUUUUCAUCCAGUUGUGAUGGUAGAGCAUUUCAAACUCCAACAGGACCCUUGCUACCCUGUUAAAGUUCCUGAUGAUCCUCUUGGCCUCUGGUGUGGAAAGGACUCCCGGAUGCUAUACAGGGAUAGCAUGGUUUGAUUGUUUGCCUGCCCUGAUUGGUUUCACCUGUGUCUAAUUAUCCUUCCCUCACUUGUGUAUUUAGUCAGUGUGAUUCCUUUGGUCUUUGUCAGUUCAUCUCAGUUGCUAUAUUGACUCCUGCUUUUGGUUUCUUGCCGCUUGGACCAUUAUUUGCCUGCCUGUUACUGGUUACUAUCUGCCUGUCAGUAAGCUACAAUAAAUCAUUUGAUUGCA